GAGUUUGAUCAUGGCUCAGAUUGAACGCUGGCGGCAGGCCUAACACAUGCAAGUCGAGCGGUAACACAGGGAGCUUGCUCCUGGGUGACGAGCGGCGGACGGGUGAGUAAUGUCUGGGAAACUGCCUGGUGGAGGGGGAUAACUACUGGAAACGGUAGCUAAUACCGCAUAAUGUCGCAAGACCAAAGAGGGGGACCUUCGGGCCUCUUGCCAUCAGAUGUGCCCAGAUGGGAUUAGCUAGUAGGUGGGGUAACGGCUCACCUAGGCGACGAUCCCUAGCUGGUCUGAGAGGAUGACCAGCCACACUGGAACUGAGACACGGUCCAGACUCCUACGGGAGGCAGCAGUGGGGAAUAUUGCACAAUGGGCGCAAGCCUGAUGCAGCCAUGCCGCGUGUAUGAAGAAGGCCUUCGGGUUGUAAAGUACUUUCAGCGAGGAGGAAGGCACUGUGGUUAAUAACCACAGUGAUUGACGUUACUCGCAGAAGAAGCACCGGCUAACUCCGUGCCAGCAGCCGCGGUAAUACGGAGGGUGCAAGCGUUAAUCGGAAUUACUGGGCGUAAAGCGCACGCAGGCGGUCUGUCAAGUCGGAUGUGAAAUCCCCGGGCUCAACCUGGGAACUGCAUUCGAAACUGGCAGGCUAGAGUCUUGUAGAGGGGGGUAGAAUUCCAGGUGUAGCGGUGAAAUGCGUAGAGAUCUGGAGGAAUACCGGUGGCGAAGGCGGCCCCCUGGACAAAGACUGACGCUCAAGUGCGAAAGCGUGGGGAGCAAACAGGAUUAGAUACCCUGGUAGUCCACGCCGUAAACGAUGUCGAUUUGGAGGUUGUUCCCUUGAGGAGUGGCUUCCGGAGCUAACGCGUUAAAUCGACCGCCUGGGGAGUACGGCCGCAAGGUUAAAACUCAAAUGAAUUGACGGGGGCCCGCACAAGCGGUGGAGCAUGUGGUUUAAUUCGAUGCAACGCGAAGAACCUUACCUACUCUUGACAUCCAGAGAACUUUCCAGAGAUGGAUUGGUGCCUUCGGGAACUCUGAGACAGGUGCUGCAUGGCUGUCGUCAGCUCGUGUUGUGAAAUGUUGGGUUAAGUCCCGCAACGAGCGCAACCCUUAUCCUUUGUUGCCAGCGGUUAGGCCGGGAACUCAAAGGAGACUGCCAGUGAUAAACUGGAGGAAGGUGGGGAUGACGUCAAGUCA
rnacentral:rRNA from 1 species